UUGACAGCCCAGGAGACUGAAAUCCUGUUUAUCCACAGAUCAGGAACAGUACAGAGCAGUGUAAGCCUCUCCACACAACUUUGCCAGUGUGCCUUCAACCCUGGCCUCAUAGGACCACCUAUAAAAGUAAGAAGAUAAUUCGGUGUCUGGGCUCAUUUAGUUUCUUUGCUGCC
rnacentral:sRNA from 1 species